GCUCUCCGCCGUACGGCUCUUCUGCCUCCGUGGUUUCGGCGGCCACGGAACGAGGGGAGAAAGGAGCGAAGAUGGGGAGGGGCACGCGAGACGGGGAGACGACCCUCAGAGCCGCGCGCGCUGCCCGGCGCCUGGUUGUCACUCAAGAAGAGUUUUUCGCGUGGAAGAAGAACGUGGAAGGACUGAGGCCCUGACUGUGUCCGUAGCUGCGGGGCAGACACGGAGGCGCCCUGGGGAGAGCGGUGAUGCAGAGCCGCUCCAGGUGGCUCAGGGGCACCUUGCCUGGCGGCACCUCGGCAUCAGGAGGGGGUGGGAGGUGGUGCCUGGACCACCCAGAGCUGAGGUCCCCCUGCCCCUUGGAAGAGAGCUGUUGUUAUCCUCCUUAACCUGCGCCGAGAGAAUGUUCCUGCCUGAGCGCUUUUCUCUCAGGGGCAGGAUGGGGGCCAGCGUGGGGGUCUCGCCCCUCUGGCUCCAAACGGACAUCUCAAGCCCUGCAACGUCCAGGACUGGUGAGGAGGCGGCAGCCCCGCGUUUGGGGUUGUCUUGCUCUGUGUUCCGGGGGAGUCACUUCUUUGCAGGGGGCCUCAGCUUCCCCGGCUGACAGGGGCCUCGGGCAGGGCAGCUGGGGGCGUGGAAGCAGCGCCGGGCAGGUAUCCCUGAUCCCUCCCUGGCCUCUCGCCCCAUCCUGGCAUUGUCCAGUGGGCAGAGGCCGUCCCUGAGGGAUGCGCAAGCGUGGCCUCCCUUCAGACCUGCGGGAAGACUGACUGUUGUGACCCCAGCCCGACUGCCGUUCCCCCCUCGGCACAUCCCUCCUUUCCCUCCGUUCUCCUCCCCCGGGACAGGGCCGGCCUUGGGUGGGCACCGCGUGACGCUCCGAGCGCUCUGGCAGCGUCCGCAAACCAUGCCUUGUCCAGGGGUGGCUGUGAGGAGCUGGGAAGAACCCCUGAGCUGGACCUGCUGCAUCUGCGGGCUCAGGAGGCCUGAGCAUCAGCCGGAUCUCACUUCAGCCUCAUGAUAACCGGUGCCCCUGGACCAGCCGCUCGUGUCCGAGCGCCUCCGUGGUGGGGGGGACACGCGCUUCCACUUAGCAUUCGUUCACUUGACACACCCACCGAAUGCCUGCCCUGUGCCGUUGGCUAUUUUAAGCCCUGGCAGCACAUGGCCAGCAAAAGACAGAGAGGUCCUGCCCACAUGAAGUUCACGUGUCAGCUGGCGUGGAUGGAUGAUGGAUAAAUAAGAAACUAUGUCAGAUUUUGUAAGUGGGGGGGAAAAAUCAUUCCGCAGGAAAGGGGACCGGAGACUGCGUGUAUCGUUAAGACAGGAAAAAGCCAGUGCUGGAGUUCCCAUCGUGGGUCAGCGGUUAACGAACCUGGCUGGCAUCCACGAGAACACGGGUUCGAUGCCUGGCCUCGCUCAGUGGGUUAAGGAUCCGGCGUGGCUGUGGCUGUGGCGUAGGCCGGUCGCUGCAGCUCCAGUCAGACCCCUAGCCUGGGAACCUCCAUAUGCCAUGGGUGUGGGGGCGGCCCUAAAAAAAGACAAAAGACAAAACAAAACAAAACAAAACACCAAACCCCCAAAACAACCAGUGGUGUUAAUAUGAUGCUCUUUUGCUUUGCACGGUAUGUGUGUUUCAAGUUCAUUACCAUGUGAACUUCUCAGAGGCAAUUAAAACUACAUAAAAUCAACAUUAGGUGGCAAACUCAGGAAGCCCUGGCAGCCCCUGGGAGACGUCGUAUGCGGACAUUCUGGCGAGUCGACCAUCCACCGUCUGAGAAGCUUCACGGUCCACUGUGAACCCGUCUUCCAUUUAGGAUCGAGUAUUUUUUCUGGCCCAGUGUAUAAAAAUAAGAACAUUCUUUCCCAAGUCACUGGGUAGAGAGUCUCCCUGAUAUAGCUCACGCACUGUCCAAAGAGUCUGCGGAGAGUAACGAUGCCGUCCUCGGUCGGGGGAGGGUUGAAUGAGGCAACGAGCUCGCUCGGAAUUGCCUCAGUGCCGAGGGGAUGUGGCUGGUGUCUUUCCACCGCUUAUUCUUGUGGAGGGGUGACUGCGGAUGUGGCCAGAACAAACUCCACCAGCGGCGAUUGCCGACUGCACUGGGCUCCAUCCUGGAGCGUGAGGGCGACUGGGAUCUUGUUGACUCUCGUACAAGACACGUGCCCACUACUGUUCCCGUUUAACAGAGGUGGGGACAGAGGCUGAGGGAGGGCAGACUCUGCCCACGGGUCCCGAGCAGGCGGGGACCUGACGGAUGCCUGCCCUGUCCCUGGGGGGUUCUCCAACGGUCCGGGGGGCGGGGGGAGCUGUUUUGCACAGCACAAAAAACCCUUCUGGGCCUCGAUCUGGCCUCCCCUCUGCAGCCCUGGACACAUCCCUCCGCUCCCGGGCCGUCGCGACCCCCAGCCACACAAGCAUAGGGCUGGGUUUGGGGUCUCCAAGCCCUCUUCCAGCUCCGGGCUGCCCAUGAUCCGAGCACCCAGGAUGCUGGGGGCUCAAGCCCGUUCUAGGUGGACACAGCGCAUCCAGCCUGCUCACGAAACCCGCCAAGUUCCCCGCACGUCACAUCUAUUUCUGCCCUGCUGGGUUUAUAAAUAUGUGGACAGGGAACUAGCUUCAGCAGAACUGGAGAGACUGAAGUCAUGGCUAUAAAUACAGGGCCAAGGCUGGGGUUGGGCAGCGGGUGCUGCAGGGCCAGCGUCAGCCUGGACGACCAUGCCCCGCGGGCCUGCGAGCCGUCCAGUCUCCUCCUGGGCUCGGAGGGGCAGGGACUUGCCCAAGGCCACACAGGCGGUGAGGCCAGAGGUGAGCCUGGACCAGCAGGCUCCUGCUUCUGAGUAGAGGCUGCUCUCCACCCCUCCACCCACUGAGGCAAGCCCCCUGCCUGGAGGCCUGUCCCUUUUCACAAAGCCAGCUAUCACAAUUUAGGUUACAAAAUAAACCUCUGGUGA
rnacentral:lncRNA from 1 species